rnacentral:lncRNA from 1 species
AUUUCUCUUAAUCAAACAUACUUGGAUAACAAUUUAUAGAAAACUACCACAAGGGCCAGGGGAUUUUCAGUUUAUAGGGGAGGGAAAUGUUCCCAUACAUUUUUGUAAGUCUUGAACUGGCAAAAUGGUAUGAAUCAAUAACCAUGAUAACUACAACAAGAUGAUACAAUAUAAAAAAGAUGUGGAAUUGAUUGUCAAUGAGACAACUCUCCAUGGCCACAAGACACCAAAUGACACAGAAAUUAACAGCUUAAGAUCACUGUACAGCCUUCAACAAUAAGCAAAGCCAAUAUCACAUACUCAGCUACAUUUACAUGUAUGGGAGG